UACGUAUGGUGCAAGCGUUAUCCGGAUUUACUGGGUGUAAAGGGAGCGUAGACGGCUGUGCAAGUCUGAAGUGAAAGGCCGGGGCCCAACCCCGGGAGUGCUUUGGAAACUGUGCGGCUAGAGUGUCGGAGAGGCAAGUGGAAUUCCCAGUGUAGCGGUGAAAUGCGUAGAUAUUGGGAGGAACACCAGUGGCGAAGGCGUCUUGCUGGACGAUGACUGACGUUGGGGCUCGAAAGCGUGGGGAGCAAACAGG
rnacentral:rRNA from 1 species